rnacentral:rRNA from 1 species
GACAGAGGUGCCAAGCGUUAGGCGGAAUCACUGGGCUUAAAGCGUGUGUAGGCGGAUUCCUAAGUACCUUGUGAAAUCCCACGGCUCAACCGUGGAACUGCUCGGUAUACUGGGUAUCUUGAGCCACUUAGGGGCGACCGGAACAAAUGGUGGAGCGGUGAAAUGCGCGGAUAUCAUUUGGAACGCCAAUGGUGAAAACAGGUCGCUGGGAGUGUGCUGACGCUGAGACACGAAAGCCAGGGGAGCAAACGGG